GGGGAUAUAGCUCAGUUGGUUGAGUGCUUAUCUCACAUGCAUAAGACCCCUGGGUUCAAUCCCCAGCACCACCA
rfam:Ictidomys tridecemlineatus contig017698, whole genome shotgun sequence.